rnacentral:lncRNA from 1 species
AGUCAGGCUCCUGGCAGGAGUCCUGCUCUCAGCUGGUUCCAGGCUCUAGCCAGGGGCUUGACUGCAAGCUGCUCAUCGAGAAGGAUGGAUGCUCCUGAGACCUGCAGUAGACAGAGCCACAAGACACACAGCAUUUGCAGGGAUGUUGUGGGAAUCCCCACAAUCAUACUCACCUGUUCCUGUUAUCUCUGCUUGGAAUUAUUUAAUCCUGCUUUGGCGUUAAGACUGAUUAUUUCUGAGGCAAGAUUAGAGUCCGACUUCAGUUGCAGCAAGGGUGAUUCACUUCAGCCUUCAGAAACUGACAGAAACCUGAGACUUCUGUCGUUCCCGUGAAGAACUGUGAAGAACUUCUAUAUCACGAAUCUGGUCAGGAGGGAGAUUUGUUCCUUGUGGAUAUCUAGAAGUAUUAUACUGAUGACAUUAGAAAUGACUCUGGAAUAAUAAUCUGAAGGAUUACACAUUUGAGAAAAAUGAAGAGAAUAUUAACUACAAAGGAUUUUUUAAUGGUGUAUUUUAUGAAGGCAAGACAAGACUGUGUAUUUCUAAGGCUCUUACUGUGCUGCUCACCGUAGUCUCAAACUCAUCUCUGAAACCAUGCUGCCUCUUCACAUCAUGAGAAGCUAAUAUACAGAUGCAAACCACAACACUCAGCUGAUGGUAUUGUGCCUUUAGCAUGUAAUGUGUGCUUCUGAUUCUGAAUGCCACCAUGCUGCUCACCGCGUUCAAACUCAUCACAGAAGCCAUGAUUCCACCCAGCAUCAUGCGAAGCUCACAACAGACACAGACCGCCACUUGCUGCUGAUGGUAUUGUAAAACUACAUGGUCUCUGACUUUCAUUUUUGAAUUUUGAUUGUAUGUGUAUAAAAUCAAUAGAAAUUUAGAUUUUUCUCAUGUAGUAUCGGUUUGCUGAGUUAGGAUUAGACUUGGUCAUAUUCAUAAUUCCUUGUUUUCUAUACAUAAGAUUAUGUUUUUAAAAAACAUUACAAAAUCGUUUUCUUUGCAUUAAGCAUCACAUACUUAAGAAAGAAAAGACCUAGUAUUAAUAUUAUUUUAUAAUUUUACCAUGGGUGUCAUCAUUUCUUUUCUCCAACUUCUCUCAGAUUCACCCUAAGUGCAAACAAACUUCAGAUACUCUAGAUUAAGUAUGAGCACUAAAGCUGACUGUUUCCCACAUUCACUAUCCCUUUCUCCACUACUAGAAAUAGAAUAAAACAAAAUACAUGAAAAUCAAAAUAAUCC